UCCCGGGGGGGAAGGAUACUACUACUGUGUAAGAGACGAAAAGAAGAAAACCAGGGUGGGGGAAGGGAAAGAAAAAGCCGCUUCUCCCCUAAAAUUAUUUAACUUUUUUGCCUUUGGUUUCCUUUCAUUUUCUCUGAUAUCUCUGUGCGAAUUCUUUCGAGACAAAAGCAUCAGCAGAAGCAGAAGCAGCAGCUCCACAGCAUCACAACGCUCCCCCUCCCCCCUUCUGACACCUAAGCUUCUUUCAAAUCAUGAUACUAACUCUUUUUCUUUUAACGAUUCACACCUCGUAUUCACACCCCCUCACCAUCCUCCUCCUUGUUUCCGCCUGCCACUAAAAUCCUCCCUCCCCUAUUCUCCUCCUAAAUAACACAAAUAUUUUUUGAUCUUCUCUUUUAUGAUUCAAGAAUCAUGACUGCGUUCUUUCCGCGGCGAAAGUGAUCGAUCCGUCAUCACCAUCACCUUCUACUCGAUCAUAUAUUUUAGUAGCAGUAGCUUUCGAUCUUGACCUACUAUGGAAAGUCAUCAGCAUCAACAUCAUCAUCAUCAGUAUGGCAGCAGCAGCAGCGUUCAUAUUGACACCGGUGGUGGCGGUGGUGGCGAUAGGUUCCCUCAAUGGAGUAUGCAAGAAACCAGGGAUUUCUUGAUGAUUCGGGCAGAGCUGGAUCCUACCUUCAUGGAAACCAAGCGGAACAAGCUUCUCUGGGAAGUCAUCGCCACCAAAAUGAGGGAAAAGGGUUACAAUCGCAGCGCUGAGCAGUGCAAAUGCAAGUGGAAAAACCUCGUUACCCGAUACAAAGGAUGUGAAACCAUGGAACCGGAAGGCGUACGACAGCAGUUUCCAUUUUAUAAUGAUUUGCAAACAAUUUUCGCUGCUAGGAUGCAAAGAAUGCUAUGGAUGGAGGCCGAGGGCGGAGCUGGCAGUUCGAAGAAGAAAGCGGCACAGCUUUCCUCGGACGACGAGGAUGAUAACGACGACAGCGAGGUUGAGAGAGCCCAUAAAAAGAAACGGAAGCUUAAAGCGGGUGGCGGUGGCGGAGGUGGAGGGGCGAGUAGUGCUUCUGCAUCCGCCGCAGCUGGAGGAAAUGUUGUGAAUAGUUUGAAGGAAAUACUGGAUGAAUUCAUGAAGCAACAGAUGCAAAUAGAAAUGCAAUGGAUGAAAGCGUACGAGGCAAGAGAAGAGGAGAGAAGGAAAAGGGAGACGGAGUGGAGACAGACGAUGGAGGCCUUGGAAAACGAAAGGUUGAUGAUGGACAAGAGAUGGAGAGAGCGGGAAGAGCAAAGAAGGAUUAGGGAAGAAGCCAGGGCCGAGAAGAGGGAUGCCCUCAUCACAGCUCUUUUGAACAAGCUUCAAAGGGAAGACAGGUGAAGAGUCACCUGCUCUAGUCUUUUCUCAUUCUUUGAUCUUUUGUUGUUCUCGAAAGAUGAAGAGCACCCUUGAGAGUUUAAAAGCAGAAAAAUAUGGUGAUAUCCAUACGCGUCCCGAGCACUUGCAACUAUCUGUCAAAAUACAAUUAGGCUCCUUAUGUUAUCCCUUGAAAUUAACCGAUCAAAGGGAGUCAACAUUGAUGCUUAAGAUUCUAUUAAGGUCAAUGAAUGUUGUUGAAGUUUGACGAUUGAGGCAGUCCGGGGGCGUGUCAAAGAGAUCUGCUCGAUGUUGCUCCUGCUCCUUAAUUUUCCAUUAAAAGUUUUCAAAUCUGUGCGUGUUGCAGUUAGAGGUUAGAACAUUAAGGCCGACGCAUGCAUGUCCCUGUCCCACUGCUCCAAGUUUUACACUGGUGAGUCCUUACUUAUAUCAAGUUCUAGUCUUCUUGACACCCAUUAGAUCAAUGGCCACAACUUAAUGUGAUUAAAACUAUUAUAAAUGCGGCCGUACAAAUAGAAUCCAAACUGAUUGGCACCCAUAAGAAUGCCUACCACUGUGAUGCCUCGUCUUCCCAUGCAUCUUGGACAUAUUUGGCAUUGCUUCGGUUUGCUCCAGAAGAAUAUAUACAAAAGAUGGCAGAUUAUAGUCUAAUUCUUCUUCGAUAAAACUACAAGAGU